UAGUCCACGCCGUAAACGAUGAUCACUAGAUGUUGGUUUUGCUUAGCAAGAUCAGUGUCGAAGCUAACGCGUUAAGUGAUCCGCCUGAGUAGUACGGUCGCAAGACUAAAACUCAAAGAAAUUGACGGGGGUCCGCACAAGCGGUGGAACAUGUGGUUUAAUUCGACACUACGCGAGAAACCUUACCUAGGCUUGACAUGUAAUCGCUACCAGUGGAAACAUUGGGUUCUGUGUUUACACAGACGGUUACACAGGUGCUGCAUGGCUGUCGUCAGCUCGUGUCGUGAGAUGUUGGGUUAAGUCCUUUAACGAGCGCAACCCUUGCCGUUAGUUGCUACCUUUAGAGCACUCUAGCGGGACUGCCUUGGAAACAAGGAGGAAGUGGGAUGACGUCAAGUCCUCAUGGCCCUUAUGCCUAGGGCUACACACGUGUUACAAUGGCGAGUACAACGGGAAGCGAAGUCGCGAGGCGGAGCAAAUCCUGCAAAACUCGUCUAAGUUCGAUUG
rnacentral:rRNA from 1 species